GACGAACGCUGGCGGCGUGCUUAACACAUGCAAGUCGAACGGAAAGGCCCUGCUUGCAGGGUGCUCGAGUGGCGAACGGGUGAGUAACACGUGGGUGAUCUGCCCCUUACUUUGGGAUAAGCCUGGGAAACUGGGUCUAAUACUGGAUAGGACCAUGCUGUAGGUGGUGUGGUGGAUAGAUUAGUUUCGGUAAGGGAUGAGCUCGCGGCCUAUCAGCUUGUUGGUGGGGUAAUGGCCUACCAAGGCGUCGACGGGUAGCCGGCCUGAGAGGGUGGACGGCCACAUUGGGACUGAGAUACGGCCCAGACUCCUACGGGAGGCAGCAGUGGGGAAUAUUGCACAAUGGGCGCAAGCCUGAUGCAGCGACGCCGCGUGGGGGAUGACGGCCUUCGGGUUGUAAACUCCUUUCAGCCAUGACGAAGCCCUUGUGGUGACGGUAGUGGUAGAAGAAGCACCGGCUAACUACGUG
rnacentral:rRNA from 1 species